GAACCUCCUCCUCGAAGUCUCAAUGCAAGCAUACAUUUUUGAGAUCAAACUAGUGCAAUUCCCAUCUAGAGCUGUAAGAGAUAGUAAGAUAUGAAAUAAUAUUCACCUUUGCUAUUAGAGCAAAUGUCUCUUCAUAAUUGACGUCACAUGUCUAAUUAUAUCCUUUUGCCACUAGUAUGGCCUUAUAACGGUCGAGGGUGCCAACUCAACAAUCUUCCAAGUUCCAUUUUUUCA
rnacentral:lncRNA from 1 species